rnacentral:rRNA from 1 species
CCGCGGUAAUACGGAGGGGGCUAGCGUUGCUCGGAAUCACUGGGCGUAAAGGGCGCGUAGGCGGACUCUUAAGUCGGGGGUGAAAGCCCAGGGCUCAACCCUGGAAUAGCCUUCGAUACUGAGAGUCUUGAGUUCGGAAGAGGUUGGUGGAAUUGCGAGUGUAGAGGUGAAAUUCGUAGAUAUUCGCAAGAACACCAGUGGCGAAGGCGGCCAACUGGUCCGAUACUGACGCUGAGGCGCGAAAGCGUGGGGAGCAAACAGG